UGGUCAUGAUGUUUGUGCAGGAAUA
rnacentral:piRNA from 1 species